GAAAGUAAGCAAGGGCAGACGGUGGAUGCCUUGGCUCUCGGAGGCGAUGAAGGACGUGAUAAGCUGCGAUAAGCUUGGGGUAGGUGCAAAUAACCUUUGAUCCCAAGAUUUCCGAAUGGGGCAACCCGGCUGGUAGAAGGCCAGUCAUUCCGUAAGGAAGGCGAACGUGGGGAACUGAAACAUCUAAGUACCCAUAGGAGAAGAAAACAAAAGUGAUUCCGCAAGUAGUGGCGAGCGAACGCGGAACAGCCCAAACCGAUGAUGUUUAGGCAUUGUCGGGGUAGUAGGACCACGUUGUGGCAAGAGAUUAAGGAAGUAGAACGUUUUGGAACAAACGGCCGUAGACGGUGAAAGCCCAGUAUACGACUCUUUAACGAAGCCUAGUGGAAUCCUGAGUAGCGCGGAGCACGAGAAAUUCUGUGUGAAUCAGCGGGGCCCAUCCCGUAAGGCUAAAUACUCCCGAGAGACCGAUAGCGAACCAGUACUGUGAAGGAAAGGUGAAAAGCACCUCGAACAGAGGAGUGAAAUAGUCCCUGAAACCGUCUGCCUACAAGCGGUCGGAGCAACGUAAGUUGUGACGGCGUGCCUUUUGCAUAAUGAACCUACGAGUUACUUUCUCCGGCAAGGUUAAGGGCUUCAGGCCCGGAGCCGAAGCGAAAGCGAGUCUUAAUAGGGCGUGAUAGUCGGAGUGAGUAGACGCGAAACCAAGUGAUCUACCCUUGGUCAGGAUGAAGGUUGGGUAACACCAACUGGAGGUCCGAAUGGGUAUACGUUGAAAAGUGUUCCAAUGAACUGAGGGUAGGGGUGAAAGGCUAAUCAAACUUGGAGAUAGCUCGUACUCCCCGAAAUGCAUUUAGGUGCAGCCUUUAUUUAGUAUAGCAUGAGGUAGAGCGACUGAUUGGAUGCGAGGGCUUCACCGCCUAUCAAGUCCAGAUAAACUCCGAAUGCGUGCUAUAUAUUGAUAAGGAGUGAGGGCGCGGGUGCUAAGGUCCGCGUCCGAGAGGAGAAGAAUCCAGACCAUCAGCUAAGGUCCCCAAAUAACAGUUAAGUUGAACUAACGAAGUCGGACUGCAGAGACAGCUAGGAUGUUGGCUUGGAAGCAGCCAUUCAUUUAAAGAGUGCGUAACAGCUCACUAGUCGAGGAGUCCGGCGUGGAUAAUACUCGGGCAUAAACUGUUUACCGAAGCUAUGGAUGUAGAAAUACAUGGUAGGGGAGCAUUCCAACGGCGUCGAAGGUGAAGGAUGACCUUUGCUGGAGCUUUUGGAAACGCAAAUGUAGGUAUAAGUAACGAUAAAGGAGGUGAGAAACCUCCUCGCCGAAAGACUAAGGUUUCCUGAUCAACGUUAAUCGGAUCAGGGUAAGUCGGGACCUAAGGUUAAGCCGAACGGCGAUACCGAUGGAAGAAUGGUUUAAUAUUCCCAUACUACUUUAUGGAGCGAUGUGGAGACGGAGAAGUGAAAGUCCUGCCAUCUGACGGAAUAGGUGGUUGAAGAGUGUAGAUGUAGAUUCCUGUAGGCAAAUCCGCAGGGAGAGUCGACCUUGACAGUAUGCCGCGUGCUUGCACAAGGCAAAAUGGACGUAAUCAGGCUCCCAAGAAAAUCCGCUAAGCAUAUUCAUAAAGUACCCGUACCGUAAACGGACACACGUAGUUGGGUUGAAAAUACUGAGGCGCUCGAGUGAUUCACGGUUAAGGAACUAGGCAAAUUGACCCUGUAACUUCGGGAUAAAGGGUCCCUACCGAGAGGUAGGGCGCAGAGAAUAGGUCCAGGCAACUGUUUAACAAAAACACAUGGCUGUGCGAAAUAGAAAUAUGAAGUAUACAGCCUGACACCUGCCCGGUGCUGGAAGGUUAAGAGGAGAGCUCAUCGCAAGAGAAGGCUUGAAUUGAAGCCCCAGUAAACGGCGGCCGUAACUAUAACGGUCCUAAGGUAGCGAAAUUCCUUGUCGGGUAAGUUC
rnacentral:rRNA from 1 species